CAUAUCAAUAAGCGGAGGAAAAGAAACUAACAAGGAUUCCCCUAGUAACUGCGAGUGAAGCGGGAAAAGCUCAAAUUUAAAAUCUGGCAGCCUUUGGUUGUCCGAGUUGUAAUCUAGAGAAGUGUUAUCCGCGCUGGACCGUGUACAAGUCUCCUGGAAUGGAGCGUCAUAGAGGGUGAGAAUCCCGUCUUUGACACGGACUGCCAGGGCUUUGUGAUGCGCUCUCAAAGAGUCGAGUUGUUUGGGAAUGCAGCUCAAAAUGGGUGGUAAAUUCCAUCUAAAGCUAAAUAUUGGCGAGAGACCGAUAGCGAACAAGUACCGUGAGGGAAAGAUGAAAAGAACUUUGGAAAGAGAGUUAAACAGUACGUGAAAUUGCUGAAAGGGAAACGCUUGAAGUCAGUCGCGUUGUCCAGGGAUCAACCUUGCUUUUGCUUGGUGCACUUUCUGGUUGACGGGUCAGCAUCAAUUUUGACUAUUGGAAAAAGAUUAGGGGAAUGUGGCAUCUUUGGAUGUGUUAUAGCCCUUAGUUGCAUACAAUGGUUGGGAUUGAGGAACUCAGCACGCCGCAAGGCCGGGUUUUUAACCACGUACGUGCUUAGGAUGCUGGCAUAAUGGCUUUAAUCGACCCGUCUUGAAACACGGACCAAGGAGUCUAACAUGCCUGCGAGUGUUUGGGUGGAAAACUCGAGCGCGUAAUGAAAGUGAAAGUUGAGAUCCCUGUCGUGGGGAGCAUCGACGCCCGGACCAGACCUUUUGUGACGGUUCCGCGGUAGAGCAUGUAUGUUGGGACCCGAAAGAUGGUGAACUAUGCCUGAAUAGGGUGAAGCCAGAGGAAACUCUGGUGGAGGCUCGUAGCGAUUCUGACGUGCAAAUCGAUCGUCAAAUUUGGGUAUAGGGGCGAAAGACUAAUCGAACCAUCUAGUAGCUGG
rnacentral:rRNA from 1 species